rnacentral:rRNA from 1 species
ACUCAAAUGAAUUGACGGGGGCCCGCACAAGCGGUGGAGCAUGUGGUUUAAUUCGAUGCAACGCGAAGAACCUUACCUGCCCUUGACAUACCAAGAAUCCUGUAGAGAUAUAGGAGUGCCGAAAGGAACUUGGAUACAGGUGCUGCAUGGCUGUCGUCAGCUCGUGUCGUGAGAUGUUGGGUUAAGUCCCGUAACGAGCGCAACCCUUAUUCUUAGUUACCAUCAUUUAGUUGGGGACUCUAAGAAGACUGCUGGUGAGAAGCCGGAGGAAGGCGGGGACGACGUCAAGUCAUCAUGGCCCUUACGGGCAGGGCUACACACGUGCUACAAUGGUCGGUACAGAAGGCGGCGAACCCGAGAGGGGAAGCGAAUCCUUUAAAGCCGGUCGUAGUCCGGAUCGGAGUCUGCAACUCGACUCCGUGAAGUCGGAAUCGCUAGUAAUCGCGAAUCAGCAUGUCGCGGUGAAUACGUUCCCGGGCCUUGCACACACCGCCCGU